AUGCCCGACGAGGUCGUCUGCGCCAUCGCCGCGGAGGACUACGCCACGCCGCUCCCCAGAGACUCCUACUGCACGGGCUGCAGGAAGGUCUUCUACGCCGCCGUCUGCCCGCACCACAGCAACGGCACGUGCCUCGCCGGCAUCGUUCUUCGUAUCGAGGAGCACGGAGACGCGCACUGCGUCCGGUGCACGGGCUUCGAGCCGUGGUUCCGCCGCGUGGAGGGCUACCUCAGCGACCCAGUCGGCGAGGAGGACGAGCUGCUGCUGCUGCCGGUGCUGAGGAGGGCGCCGGGCACGUGCGCGCAGUGCCAUGCCCAGUGGGCGGGCUGGCAUUACGAGCAACACUGCUCGCUGGCCUGCGUUAACGCCUGGCGCCAGGAGGUCCUUGUGCGGAGGGAGCGCCGCGAGGCCAGACGCGCUGCAAGGGACCUCGCCAACCUACAAAUCCAUCACUAA
rnacentral:rRNA from 1 species